GCCAGCGAGUACCUCCUUGGCCGAAAGGCCCGGGUAAUCUUGUUAAACCCUGUCGUGCUGGGGAUAGAGCAUUGCAAUUAUUGCUCUUCAACGAGGAAUCCCUAGUAAGCGCAAGUCAUCAGCUUGCGUUGAUUACGUCCCUGCCCUUUGUACACACCGCCCGUCGCUACUACCGAUUGAAUGGCUCAGUGAGGCCUUCGGACUGGCCCAGAGAGGUGGGCAACUACCACUCAGGGCCGGAAAGUUGUCCAAACUCGGUCAUUUAGAGGAAGUAAAAGUCGUAACAAGGUCUCCGUUGGUGAACCAGCGGAGGGAUCAUUACCGAAGUUACUCUUCAUACCCUUAUGUGAACCCUACCCCUCGCCGCGCGGUUGCCUCGGCGGGAGGUCGCGGGCUGGGGCUCCGGCCCCUGCCCCCGCGGCCCCCGCCGGCCGCGCCCAACUCUUCUUCUGCAAAGCGGACUGCAAGUUCUGAUUAUAUCUUGAAAAACAAGUCAAAACUUUCAACAACGGAUCUCUUGGUUCUGGCAUCGAUGAAGAACGCAGCGAAAUGCGAUAAGUAAUGUGAAUUGCAGAAUUCAGUGAAUCAUCGAAUCUUUGAACGCACAUUGCGCCCGGCAGCAAUCUGCCGGGCAUGCCUGUCCGAGCGUCAUUUCUGCCCUCGAGCGCGGUUCCGUCCCCGGACGGAGCCGCCGCCCGGUGUUGGGGCGCUGCGGGCCUCGAGCCCGCAGGCCCCGAAAUGAAGUGGCGGUCCCGCCGCGGCGCCCCCUGCGUAGUAAGUGUCUUGCACCUCGCAUCGGGACCCGGCGUCGGCCAGCCGUCGAACCCUCUUUCUCUUGAUGGUUUGACCUCGGAUCAGGUAGGGUUACCCGCUGAACUUAAGCAUAUCAAUAAGCGGAGGAAAAGAAACCAACAGGGAUUGCCCCAGUAACGGCGAGUGAAGCGGCAACAGCUCAAAUUUGAAAUCUGGCCCCCUUGCGGGGUCCGAGUUGUAAUUUGAAGAGGAUGCUUCUGGCGAGGCGCCGUCCGAGUUCCCUGGAACGGGACGCCGCAGAGGGUGAGAGCCCCGUACGGUCGGACGCCGAGCCUCUGUGAAGCUCCUUCGACGAGUCGAGUAGUUUGGGAAUGCUGCUCAAAAUGGGAGGUAAACCCCUUCUAAAGCUAAAUACCGGCCAGAGACCGAUAGCGCACAAGUAGAGUGAUCGAAAGAUGAAAAGCACUUUGAAAAGAGAGUUAAAAAGCACGUGAAAUUGUUGAAAGGGAAGCGCUUGCGACCAGACUCGCGCCCGUCGGAUCAGCCGUCGCUCGUCGGCGGCGCACUCCGGCGGGCUCGGGCCAGCAUCGGUUCGCCUCGGGGGGAGAAAGGCGGCGGGAAUGUGGCUCUUCGGAGUGUUAUAGCCCACCGCGUAAUACCCCCGGGCGGACCGAGGACCGCGCGUAUGCAAGGAUGCUGGCGUAAUGGUCGUCAGCGACCCGUCUUGAAACACGGACCAAGGAGUCGUCCUAAUAUGCGAGUGUUCGGGUGUCAAACCCCUGCGCGUAAUGAAAGUGAACGGAGGUGAGAGCUUCGGCGCAUCAUCGACCGAUCCUGAUGUUCUCGGAUGGAUUUGAGUAAGAGCAUAUUGGGCCGGACCCGAAAGAAGGUGAACUAUGCCUGUAUAGGGUAAAGCCAGAGGAAACUCUGGUGGAGGCUCGCAGCGGUUCUGACGUGCAAAUCGAUCGUCAAAUAUGGGCAUGGGG
rnacentral:sRNA from 1 species